rnacentral:ncRNA from 1 species
GUUCAAAUGAGGAAGGACUUAUGGUGGAUACCUAGGCAUCCAGAGAUGAGGAAGGGCAUGGUAAGUGAUAAAAUGCUUCAAGGAGUUGAAAAUGAGCGUAGAUCCGAAGAUUCUCGAAUAGGUUAACCUUUUUAACUACUUCUUAAUCCAUGGGCAGGCAAGAGACAACCUAGUGAAAUGAAACAUCUUAGUAGCUAGAGGAAUAGAAAUAAAAAGUGAUUCCCAUAGUAGCGGCGAGUGAAAUGGGAGCAACCUAAACUGUGAAAAUGGGGUUAUGAGAGAGUACAAUAUAAUCUCUAUGCUACUAAGUGAAGCGGUUGAGUCCUACACCCUAUAUGGUGAGAUUCCAGUAGCCAAAAGCAUCAUUGGGUUAUGCUCUAACCUGAGUAGCAUGGGGCAUGUGGAAUCCCAUGUGAAUUAGAAAGGACCACCUUGCAAGGCUAAAUACUCUUGGGUGACCGAUAGUGAAGUAGUGUCAUGAGGGAAAGGUGAAAAGAACCCCCAUUGGGGAGUGAAAUAGAACAUGAAACUGUAAGCUCCCAAGAAGUGGGAUGAAAAUGAUAUCUCUGAUCACGUGCCUAUUGAAUAAUGAGUCGACAACUUAUAGGCAGUGGCUUGGUUAAGGGAACCCAUCGAAUUCGUAGCGAGAGUGAGUCUUCAUGGGGUAAUUUUUACUACUUAUGGACCCAAACCUGGGUGAUCUAUCCAUGACCAGGAUAAAGCUUGGGUGAAACUAAGUGGAGUUCCAAACCGACUGAUGUUGAAAAAUCAACGAAUGAGUCGUGGUUAGCAGUGAAAUUCCAGUCGAACCCAGAGCUAGUUGGUUCUCCCUAAAAUACUUUGAGGCGCAGUAGUUGACUAGACCAUCUAGGGGUAAAGCAUUGUUUCGGUAUGGGCCACGAGAGCGGUACGAAAUCGAGGCAAACUUUGAAUACUAGAUUUCCCCAAUAAAAGGGGUAAAGGUCAGCCAGUGAGACGAUGGGGAAUAAGCUUCAUCGUUGAGAGGGAAACAACCCAUAUCAUCAGCUAAGGCCCCUAAAUGAAUUCUUAGUGAUGAAGGAAUUACAAGUUCAAACAAAACCACGAGGUUUUCCUAGAAGCAACCAACCUUGAAAGAGUGCAUAAUAGCUCACUGAUUGAGUGCUCUUGCACUAAAGAUGAAUGAGACUAAGUGAUCUGUCGAAGCUGUGGGAUGUAAAAAUACAUCGGUAGGGCAGCAAAAUGACCCAAAUAUGCUAGUUCUACUAGCUUGGAAGGUAGUGGAGCCAAAGCACCCCACAAGGAAGUAAGUGCCUAUUUUUGUGUAA